GCGACUAAGCGUACACGGUGGAUGCCCUGGCAGUCAGAGGCGAUGAAGGACGUGCUAAUCUGCGAUAAGCGUCGGUAAGGUGAUAUGAACCGUUAUAACCGGCGAUUUCCGAAUGGGGAAACCCAGUGUGAUUCGUCACACUAUCAUUAACUGAAUCCAUAGGUUAAUGAGGCGAACCGGGGGAACUGAAACAUCUAAGUACCCCGAGGAAAAGAAAUCAACCGAGAUUCCCCCAGUAGCGGCGAGCGAACGGGGAGCAGCCCAGAGCCUGAAUCAGUGUGUGUGUUAGUGGAAGCGUCUGGAAAGGCGCGCGAUACAGGGUGACAGCCCCGUACACAAAAAUGCACAUGCUGUGAGCUCGAUGAGUAGGGCGGGACACGUGGUAUCCUGUCUGAAUAUGGGGGGACCAUCCUCCAAGGCUAAAUACUCCUGACUGACCGAUAGUGAACCAGUACCGUGAGGGAAAGGCGAAAAGAACCCCGGCGAGGGGAGUGAAAAAGAACCUGAAACCGU
rnacentral:rRNA from 1 species